CUUUUUCAGGUUCUUAAUUCUAGGAUGUCCGCUGUGCCGGGAGUCGCGCUCUAUAAGCACAAGUUCACUGUGGUGGCGGCGGCAGGAGUCUUGUAUGACACCUAAAGCAGGCACCCCCAAAGUCAUUGAAGAAAAAAAAAUUAUUUUUCCCACCCAGGUCUGGCCCGGAAGGAAGCCCUGAGCCUUUCGGCAAGGCAGGAGUUUCGGUCCUACAUUUCCCCUGGGACCCAGAGAGGAAGGAAGGAGGCACAGGCCGCACCCAGACCUCCAGGCUGGGACCUGACCUGCGGGGAAAGGCUCUGCUUAGAUCCACACACACACUCCCGGGGCAGAGGCCAUUUUGAACCUCGGUUCCCUCAUUUGUGAAAUAUUCUCCUAAUAUUCAGGAGGCAGGAAGGCUGUAGACACUGAGGAAGACCACCUGUGCAAAGCUGGCUAACACCUGUGUACACACUUCCCAGUCUGUAAAGACCGGAGGCCGCCGUUGCCAGUGGUCAAACCUAGUCCACUGCAAGCUUAGGGUUCUUAGAAUCGGAGACGCUGGGGUUGGAAGAACUGGGCAAAGGACAAACGUUCAGAACCGGUCGGGAGGGCAAAGGAACUUCGAUGGACAUUCUCUUACUGCGUGCACUUUCAAACACAACCAGUUGGGAGGAACUGUGGUUGGGUCAGAGAUAGAGAUGAAUAUUAACGAGGGAUAGGCUGGCAGCCCUUGUCUGCUAGGCACAGGAUCAGACCUCCCGAUGGUGCGUAGACUCUGCUGGUUUUGAUUCAGUCUGGUUAGGGUGACGAUUCACUGAAAGACAGCUGGUGGCAGGUGCUAGGUACCUGGAUCACCUGUGGGAAGGGAGGACUCUGGGAGCAGGAAGGAGGUGGUUGUAUGCAUGGGAUCCCACGCAAGGUUUGCACCUAUUGCUGUUUAUCUGAGAAAGGGGUCAUAAGUUCACAGAAGUGGGGGCCCUUCAUUUCACCUUCUUGCUUCCUAGUUUGUUGUGACAGGUGACAGAUCCCUGAUUCUUAUGGUUGUGCCCAGUAGGAGGACUCUUUCUGCCUCACAGCUCCAAACAGAAUAAUGAAGUGUUCCGAAUAAAUGUCUUUUUGUUUCUCCUGUCUCUUACUUAAUAUCAUCAUGACUGAAGUAAUGAACAUCGGUUUCUGUCUUGAGCUGGGAAAACCCAUUAAAAAGCCACCAUCACCAGCACUGCCCACUAAUCAAUGCAGUUUUAAUUUGUAGCCCUAACUGUGCUGUGCCACCAGAUACUCAAACCUCUCCCUCUCAAAAAACUCCAGUGUUAACCCCUUCUUCCCCCACCACCAGCCACCCAUGUGAAUGAACAGGAAGCUGCACUUCGAGUCCAGGGAACAGCUUAUGAGAGUGCAGAGACAGAAGUGGGUACUAGAUCUCCUGGAAUAGGAGUUACAAACAGUUGUGAUCCACCUCGAAUCAAGCCAGAACUCCUGCAAGAGCAACUCGUGCUUUUAGCUGCUGAGGGAUUCUCUUGAAUUCCCGAAGAGUCUAUGUUUUUGUUUUUGACUUGAAACUCACUAUGUAGGCCAGGCUAGCCCUGAACUCCUGGGAUCCACCUGCAUCUAUUUCCCUCGUACUGGGAUUAAAGGUGAUUACAUCAGCAGGACUUGUAUAUAUUGUUCUGUGUGUGCAUAUUCCUGUACAUAAAUUAUACUUUAAUUAGGAGAAUAAUUUUUUUCCAAAGCUGUUUAUGGUGGCACUUUCGAGGUAGAAGCAGAAGAAUCAGAAGUUCAAGCCCAGUUUGGGAGAGUUCGAGGCUUGCUCUAUGAAACCCUGCCUCAAUCAACA
ensembl:lncRNA AABR07030147.1